rnacentral:ncRNA from 1 species
CGAUAGAAUGGCCCCGAUGGUUCCGAAACGGCAUCAGCCGACGGGAUUAAAAGGGAACACGGAACGGGAAAACCAAGCCGUGGCUGCCCCCGCAACUGUAAGCGGAGAGUUCAUGUCAAUUUGCCACUGGAGCAAUCCGGGAAGGCGACAUUCGAACAUCGACCCGCGAGCCAGGAGACCUGCCAUCGACAAAUCAUUAAU